CACCAUGAGUGCUACAAUUUAUUUACUAUAUACUAAAGGAGAGAGACUGUUCAUGGGCACUGUUCCUAAGGGACCGAAAUGGAAUGACGCUUUUGCCCUCAUUUUCUGCCACUGAGCCAUCAGUUUCUUCUUUCUUCUACGGCCAUGGGAUUCUUCUCUCCUGUUGGUUUCUCUCUUCCUCCCUUCUGCCCUGGUUUAUUAAGCUAUCGCCAUCACUCAGUACGACAUCGAAGAAGUACAGCAACACUUGCAACCACACAUUUUCGCAGUAGAAGAUAGUUUCUCUGUGUGUGACUUGCUCUUAGGAGAUGCUUCUGUAUCAACACCCAAUUUCCUUUUCUCAUCAGAGAGAUUUGAUCAAACAACAAAGCUACUUACUUUUGGGGUGACUUGCUCUUAGGAGAUGCUUCUGUAUCCACACCCAAUUUCGUUUUCUCAUCAGAGAGAUUUGAUCAAACAACAAAGCUACUUAGUUUUGGGGUGACUUGCUCUUAGGAGAUGCUUCUGUAUCAACACCUAAUUUCCUUUUCUCAUCAGAGACAUUUGAUCAAACAACAAAGCUACUUAGUUUUGGGGUGAAUUCAGAAAGAUAUUCAAGGGAGGAUUGGCAAAGAACAAGCGGUUCUUUGCUUUGCUCAGCUCACUGG